rnacentral:misc_RNA from 1 species
UCUCCGUAGGUGAACCUGCGGAGGGAUCAUUACUGAGUGAGGGUCUCCGGGCCCGACCUCCAACCCUUUUGUGAACCACCUCGUUGCUUCGGGGGCGACCCUGCCGCUUCGGCGGUGCGGCGCCCCCGGAGGCCAUCAAACCCUGCGUAACUAAGUCGUCGGAGUUUAAACAAAUUAAACAAAACUUUCAACAACGGAUCUCUUGGUUCGGGCAUCGAUGAAGAACGCAGC